UAAUAUUGUUGCAUUUUCACAAGGGCAAAGGAUGCAUAUGAGUUACUGUUAGUAGACAGACCUUGCUAAUUUAUAAACGCUCAAUCAUAGAAAGAAGAAACGGAUUUUGACAAUUCAAUUAUUUCCCACUCCCAUUUGUUCUUCACCCAACAGCCCAUAUUUAACAUCAACACAUCUAGGUUAGCUGCUAAAUUUAAUAGUCUGCUAAAGGAGAAUAUGAGAGCAAUAUUACCAACCGAUAGUCUCUCAUUCCAAAAUUUCAUUUUCAUCUCAUUCCCCACAGCAAAUCUGAUAUGAAUUCAAGGAGAGAAGGAAGAGUUCAUCGAAAGUAGCAUAGCCUCGUAUGUCUUUCUGAAGGGAAGAAAUGCAAUUUCCUGGAGCAAGAGAGAUACCCUUCUCCAAAUUGAAAGAAUAUUUGGAUAGAAGAAGUUGAACUUAAGAGUGAAUCCCUAUGAUUUUCAAAUCUCCAAAGCCAUUUGAACAAAAGAGCUUGAAUUUGAAGAGAGAUCUCUUUCAUGCCUAAGCCUCCAUUCUUUUUAGGCAACAAAAGAGUAUUCCAUUUAAUCAGAUGAAGUUUCUUUGUAAUGACACUACCGGACCACAAGAAAGAUCUAAACCAAUCAGCAAGUAUCUCUAACAUGCCCAAAAGCUUUCCAAAAGUCACAAAAUCUAUAUGAAACUCUUUCCUCCACUCCCAACUUUCUAACUUCCUAACUUUUCUUUUAAGAAUGAGGAGGCUGAACAUAGAAUUAUACUAAAAACAAACUCAUAUUCAAUCUACUCUUUAAUGAUGCUUUAAAACAGCAAGUUUAUCCCAUAGUUUCUUCAAUUUUCUAAAGUAAACAACAACUCAUAUACAUUCUUGACUGAAACUACUUAUUUCUUUCUUUAAUUGGCGUAUAAGUUGCCCAAAUCUUUCUUUAAAGCAAGUGUCAUAGUCAUAGACAUACUCCAAGUCGAAUAAUUUACUAAAUUUAACGGUGCAGAUAGAUAUGAGAAUCCUACUUGGAUUAUCUGAGUUUUGAAGAGUCAAAGGAUCUGAAUCAUUUUGCAAUUGGUUUCCUACCUCUCAAUAUGUACCCUGUCAGCUCCACCUUCUCUAACAAACCAUUUCCCAUGGAUGCAGUCACAAAAACAUCAAGAAUGAUGCAUUAAGCAAAAAGAAAAAUACCAUGUACAAACAAGAGCCCAAAGAAAAUUUUAUUGAGUAUAUUACAAGGUUUAGAAAGUGGUAAAAACAUAAGAUGUCUCAUUAUAUACUGCUGAAAGGAGAAAAGAAACAACCAAAACAACUUUUCUUGCGUAACUUAACUAACAUCUCAAACAGUACAUACAAUCAACUUGGCACAAAGUAAAGAAUCUCAAAGGGAAGAAUAUAUACAUACCUUCCACAAGCAUUUCUAAAAUUCAAAUUUUCAUGUUAAAGAAUUGAUUUCAUUGGAAAAGAUUGUGAACUUUAUAUUAUUAGAUGCUAAUGCAAUGAUUUCACUAAUUUGACUUGAAGGAAAAUAAAAGAANNNNNNNNNNNNNNNNNNNNNNNNNNNNNNNNNNNNNNNNNNNNNNNNNNNNNNNNNNNNNNNNNNNNNNNNNNNNNNNNNNNNNNNNNNNNNNNNNNNNNNNNNNNNNNNNNNNNNNNNNNNNNNNNNNNNNNNNNNNNNNNNNNNNNNNNNNNNNNAAAAAAAAAAAAAAAAAAAAAAGGUGACAAAGAGGAUAUUUGCUUUUCCCUCAAUUCCCAUAACAUUUUCUGUUGUCUAUAAUUUUAGUGACAUUUCAUCCAACCAACAGCAGUAGAAGUCUAGUGAUUCUCUUACCUUGUACUCUGGGACUGUAUAUCCUGCACCCUGCAUUUAGUCUAAUUGUUAAAUCAAUUCUCAAUUAAAGCACACUGCUUUAUAAUCAUUAUUUUCAUUAUUAUUAAAAAUAUAAUAAUUAAGCAAAAAAGAAUUGCUUAUACCUUUAUGGUUAGAAAGGCGAAGUUGUAAUCAUAUCCUUGCAAGUACCUACAAGAGAAAGAGAAAUGAUGAAGUACUCAUUUCACACCGGGUAAUUUUAUCUUAAAUGCCAUCUGUUUUCUGCUGUUCCCUUCAUUUCUCAUGUUCAGAUUCUGCUACAUUAUUAUCUAUUUCAGGAGAGGCGAAACACUCAUGUACUGGAAGAAUCAAUAGCCAAUAAUGAACCUGAUAGACAGAGACACUGGCUGGAAGAAUUGGCGAACAAAGAUACAUUGGCUAGAGAACGGAUAGAGAAUCUGAAAGCAAGUUCCAUUUCUAAUCUAGUGACAUAUUUGGUUCAACACAAGUGAAAAUGAGUUCACGGAAACAAGAUAACAUAGAAGCAUUGAGUUCACCAGUGUCAUUUCCAAGAAGAUCAUUUUGUCGGACACAACGGAGUACUACAGGAGAUGACAGUUCUGCACUGAAUUCUCCUGUUUUCCCAACUUACAUGGCUGCAACAGAAUCUGCAAAGGCAAAGGCGAGGUAGAUGAGCACACCGAGGCAACGAAUAGGAAUUCAGGAUCAUUUUCUCAUUGACAGCUUAUCAUACAAAAGUGGACUUUCUUUUUGGUCUUCUUAUAACAGUGAAUGGUUCGGAAAUAGUAGCGAAGCUGCUCAGCGCGUUCCUGUAAGCGUAAAUCGCCAUUAUUGAUGAGAUGCCUGGCUUGCUUCUCAACAAAAUUAAUACCAACCAGAAGAGUUAAUGCUUCUCAAGAAUUACUUGAUCAGUCACUAACAAGACAAUGAAGUAACUUCAAGCUGUGGUCAUUGGAGAGCUCGAAUACACAGCGGCUCGAAUGAUCGUUCUUUGCCGGGAAAAUAUUUUUGUGGGGGUGAAUUGAAAGGUAUAAUUUUGUGUUAGAUCUAUGAUGUCCAUAAUCAAUCACUUGAUCACUUGCAUAUUAUAUAUUGAUUUUUCUUUUGAGGGGAGAGAGAGAGAGAGAGAUGAGGUUUUGUUUCUGUGUUUAUUGCAGAGGGUUGGGUGUGAGAGUUGGGGUUUUUGAGAAUGGUGUUAUGGAGCUAAGUAGUUGCAAUCAGCAGUGUAAUGUUUGGCUUGCAUUUUAAAAGAGCUCAGCAUGAAAUUGUUCACUAUACAUCAUCUCAUUCGUCCAUGAAAAAACUUGAAUAGUUAUGUUAGGACAAGGAUAAUAUGAAAUUAGAAAAUUUGAGGAUUAUGCUUUUCUUUUUCUUAAAAUUUACUAUUUAGUCCAAAAAAUUCAUUAAUUAGUACAUGGUUUAGAAUUAAAAAAAUAUAUUAAAAUGUGAAGUAUUAAAAAAUUUAUUAAUUAAUUUUUUCAUUAAUUUUAAUCAUUAAAUAGUAAAAAUGUGGUAUAAAAAAUUUAUUAAUGUGUUUUUCGAUUUUGUAAAAGCAUCUACUAAUUAAUUACUUGAUAUUAAGGAUAGUUUAAACUUUUCUAUAAUACUAACGACUGAAAUUAAUCGAAGGUUAAUUAGUAAAAAUUUUAAAAUUUUAUAGAUAUUUUAAAAAAUGCUAAAAUUCAGAGAUUAAAUAAUAAAUUUUUAUAUAUUAUAAAAAUUAAAUAAUAAUUCUUUUAUCACCAAUAAAUUAUAUAUAGGUAAAUGAUGAUAAUUUUAAUAAAGAUUAUGUUAUUUGACAAUAGCUAUGUUAAUUACUAUGAAAAUUACAGAUAUGUUAUCACUCUGUUUAUAUCCAAGUGUAUGCAUAGAGUCUGCAUAUACAAAAUUAUUAAUAACUAUUUUUUUUACUUUAUUUUUAUUCAUGUUAAAUUAUAUGAACUUCUGAGGGCAAACCUUGUUUCUCUACUGGUGGUUAGUACUGCAGCCUUCCCUUAUCCCUUUUAAGUAAGGGAUGGGUUCCUCGAGUGGGUUUACUCUCCUUGUCUCUAGGGCUGGGGUGAAAAUAUUGUGUUUUUCUAUUUUUGCUUUUGCAGUUCUAGAUUUGGAGCUUCAUGGUGAGAGUAUUUUAAAGAUCAGUCUUGGUUUAGACCAACUCAUAGAUGUGAUAUCACUAUUCCAGCGACUGAGGGGAGUGUGGUUUGCUUGCAUGUAUUCUUUUUUGUAGGAUGGGUUCAAAUUUUCUAGGGAGGUGACAUAUCAAGAUGUUAUUAAGGCCACUGAUGUGAUUCCAGUAUUCAAAUGAUUACAACAGAGUGAGGCUACUGUGAGCUCUGCUCUCUCCAACUUACUAAACCUCCAGCACUAUACAAACGAAUCAAAUAGACUUUUGUCCUAAACGAAAAAUAAUUCAUUUAUGUUAUACAUGGAUUCACAAACAAAAUAACCGUUUAUAAUAUAAAUAAAUUUAAUAUCCAUUUGUAUUUUACGUUUGCACAUUCUCUAUCAUUUACAAAUGAAAUUUCACAUAUCCAUCUAUAUUUUUUUUGCAUAUUCUCUAUUAUUUAGAAAUAAAAUUUCACAUAUAAACGGAUAAUUUGUAAAUAAUUUAUUUAUAAAUCCAUUUAUAAUACAAACUUUAUAAAUACAUUUAUUUGUGAUACAUAACGUUAAUUUAUUUAUAAAUUUAUUUGUAAUUUAAAUGAUUUAUCCAUUUAUAAAUUUAUUAAUAAUAUAAACGACUAAUCUAGAGAUAAUCGAGUCCAACCAACAUUUCUAAAGUUCAAGUUUGUUAUUAAAAAAUUAUAAAUUUGAAUUUGAUUCGUGAAAUAUUUAACGAUUUUAAUGAAUUUUAACUUAAUUCGAGUAUGGCAAGUGGUGAAUUCGAUUAUUAGUUUGACGUUUAGAAAUAGUUUAAAAAUAAAAUUAAAUAAAAAUAUUUUAAAAUUAAAAUAUUUAAAUUUUCUCAUUAUGAUAAAAAUCACGUACUAAUAUAGGAAAGAGAGACUCUUCUGCUAGAGUUUUCGAGGGCAAGGCGAAUCCUUUCUUUAGGAAUGGUCAAAAAAUAAAUAAUUAAUGAAUUUUACCAUUCCAAUUCCAUGAGUAUACCAUGAAGUUACAAAGAUUGUAAACCAAGGCGAAAUAGUCUCGAUUUCCUAUCUAUAAAUAGAAAGUACUUUACCGUCAUCUAUAAAUAGAAAGUACUUUACCGUCGUCAGAGUUAAGGGUUAAGAGAGAGGGAAAACCUUUCAUAGGAAAGAACUUCUCGUCUUAUAAUUUACUGAUACAAGAUUAAAAUUAAAUGGAUAUAAAUUUAAUAGACGGAUUGUAAAAUUAAAUGACACAAAUAGAUUGAUAACUAUAAGUAUCUUUUUAACUAUAUAUUCUUUAUACUUAAUUUAACGGUGCAGAUAUGAGAAUCCUACUUGGAUUAUCUGAGUUUUGAAGAGUAGAAGGAUCUGAAUCAUUUUGCAAUUGGUUUCCUACCUCUCAAUAUGUACCCUGUCAACCCACCUUCUCUAACAAACCAUUUCCCAUGGAUGCAGAAUCUCAAAAACUUAAAGAAUGAUGCAUCAAGCAAAAAAGAAAAAUACCAUGUACAAACAAGAGCCCAAAGAAAAUGUUAUUGAGUAUAUUACAAGGUUUAAAAAGUGGUAAAAACAUAAAAUCUCUCAUUAUAUACUGCUGAAAGGAGAAAAGAAACAACCAAAACAACUUUUCUUGCCUAACUUAACUAAUAUCUCAAACAGUAAGAAACAAUAAGUUUCACAUUCAUAACACCACAAAAAUGUACCGCAAAAUGCACCAUAUAAAUAACUCAAAUGGUGGUCCAACACUAAACUAUAUCUAUUAUAUACCAUAUUGACAAAAUGAUCAUACUUGAUUCCAUUAUUAUUAUUAUGUACGAUAAAGAUCUCUUAUACAGAGAUGAUUUCCUAAGUAAUUUUCCUUAAUAUACAGCCAUUGUAAAUAAUUUACUAUCACAAGAUUCAACAGUUUCAACAACUUAAAUUGGUAGAUUUUCUGUCCACCAAAAAAUUUUUUAAAAAAAAUGGCAGAUUUCUCAACCACUACACUUGUACCUUGGCUUCAGCAGGAUACAAAUCAUACAAUAGAGGUUUGGUUAAUUUAGAAAGCAGUUUGAAAAUAGUUGCAUUAGGCCAAGCAAAGUGAUUUAAUCAUAUCCUUAAAAUGGACUCACUUUAUUUGAUAGCUAUUGCUAUUAACUAUCAACAUUUAAUCGCCAGUUACACAUCCAAUCAACUUGGCACAAAGUAAAGAAUCUCAAAGGGAAGAAUAUAUAUAUACCUUCCACAAGCAUUUCUAAAAUUCAAAUUUUCAAGGUAAAAAAUUGAUUUCAUUGUGAAAAGAUUGUGAACUUCAUAUUAUUAGAUGCUAAUGCAAUGAUUUCACUAAUUUGACUUGAAGGAAAAUAAAAGNNNNNNNNNNNNNNNNNNNNAAAAAAAAAAAAAAAAAAAAAAAAAAGGUAACAAAGAGGAUGUUUGCUUUUCCCUCAAUUCCCAUAACAUUUUCUGUUGUCUACAAUUUUAGUGACAUUUCAUCCAACCAACAGCUGUAGAAGUCUAGUGAUUCUCUUACCUUGUACUCUGGGACUGCAUAUCCUGCAUCCUGCAUUUAUAGUGUAGUCUAAUUGUUAAAUCAAUUCUCAAUUAAAGCACACUGGUUUAUAAUCAUUAUUUUCAUUAUUAUUAAAAAUAUAAUAAUUAAGCAAAAAUGAAUUGCUUAUACCUUUAUGGUUAGAAAGGCGAAGUUGUAAUCAUAUCCUUGCAAGUACCUACAAGAGAAAUGAUAGCAUUUUAAAAGGUCAUUGAGCACAAAAAUAAAAAUAGACAAAGAUUAUUAAGCAUUGUAGUAUGGGACCAAUUAGUUUUAGUUCUCAAUUCAAUUUUAGGACUGAGCUCUCGAGUUAAGGCUGUAGUAGCAGCCAAUAAAAAAUUGUAAAGGAGAUGGUGGGUUUACCAGCAACUUGAUCAUUAGAAAUCCAUGACCUCCAUUCAUCAACAAUCUUAUAUCAAAGAGAUCAAGUCCAUGUCUGAAUUCAAGCGAAAGGAACACACAUAUCAUGUUUUCCACCACAGGUCAUUUGCGGUGUUAGAAAUUUUCAUUUUGUGGAAGAGAAUCACAGCUGAUUGAAAUUAAAAAUGAUAUUUGAAGAAGUUAGUUAAAUUACAUGUCUAUUAUAUUUGAAAAAGGUAAUUACCAAGUUGCGCUCCAAGACACACUUGAAUGGUCAAGAUAUAACAACUUUAGUUUGCUGAUCCCUCAUUGCGCACCUUUAAAAGCCUCAGAAUGAGAUCAUUAUUCCGCAAUAAAUGUACUACCAAUUCUGUGGUAGCAGCAUCAGCAGAGAACCCGUUAUCAACCAUUUCGUUGAUUAGUUCUGAUGCUUUUGGUAAAUCCUCAUGCUUGAGAAACCCUUGAAUGAUGAUAUUAUAACAACAAUUAUUUGGUAAACAUCCUACCUUUUCCAUGUCUUUAAAUACCUUAUACGCUUCAUCCAUCAAUCCUUGUCGGCAGAGUCCUUUCAUAAUUGCACUAUAUAUAUGAACAUUAGGUUGUAAACCAUUUUCAAAAAGACUAGAAAACAGUUCCUUGGCAUCAUUAAUCUUGCCAGCUUUGCACAUACCAUUGAUCAGAAUGCAAUAGGUCACAAGAUUAGGCUUUAACUGACUUUCCUCCAUUUUUUUCAAUAGGGUGAGUGCUUCAUCGAGAUUCCCCUGACUACACAAGCCAUUAAUCAUAAUUGAGAAGGUUACUAUAUUUGGCUGUUGACCAUGAGAGCACAUGUUCUUAAAGAGCUCCUGAGCAGUUUGGGGCCUCCCUGCUUGAAACAUACCCUCUAUAAGAGUAGAAUAAGUAACAACAUCAGGAACUAAACCUUUAUGAGACAUUUCAACAAAAACAUCCUUUGCAUCAUCUAUCAUUUUGCACUUACAAUAUCCAUUGAUCAAAAUGGUGUAGCUAAAAAUGUUAGCUAUUUCAUUGGUCACCAUCAGAUCAAAUAGCUUUCUAGCCUUAUCAAUUUGCUUGCAAAGACAAUAUCCAUCCAUCAAUGAAUUAUAAUUGACAACAUUAGGCUCCUCACCUCUUUGAACCAUUAUUUUGAUUAUAAUCUGUGCAUUUGAAACCAGUCCUUUCUUACAAAGAGUGUCGAUCAAUAUGUUGAAGGUAAAAACAUUAGGGGAUAUGUUCCUCCCCACCAUUUCUUUCAACAAGGCCAAAGCUUCCUUGAAAUGGUCUGAAAUGCAAAGACCAUCAAUUAAGGAAGUGUAGGUGACCACAUUAGGCUCUACACCUCUUUGAAUCAUUAUAUUGAAUGUAUUUUGAGCCUCUGAAACCAUUCCAUCCUUACAAAGAGCGUCAAUCAAUACAUUGAAGGUAUAAACAUCAGGUGAUAUGUUCUGCUCCACCAUUUCAUUCAUCAAGGCCAAAGCUUGGUUCUUUUGGCCUAAUUUGCAAACACCGUGAAUUAAACUAUUGUAAGUGAUGACAUCAGGUGAAACGCCCUUAUUCCUCAUUUGAGAGAAGAGCUCUAAAGCCUCACCAACUAGCUCAUCCUUGCAAAGGGCGUCAAUGAUUGCACUGUAUGUCACAACAUUUGGCUCACAACCUCUAUCAGCCAUUCCGUUUAGUAGCCCAAUAGCCACAUUUGUUUUCCCAAAUUUACACAUUCCGUUUAUUAUCGCACUGUAAGUAUAAACAUUAGGUUGAUAACCAUGUGCAACCAUAUCAUCGAAAAAUUCCACUGCUUUGUCGAUUUUGCUCUCCUUACAAAGCCCAUUAAUUAAGGUAGUAAAUGUCACAGUGUUAGGCUCCAAUCCGAAUUUGAGCAUCUUACCAAAAACAGAGAAGCCAAAAUCCACAAGGUGCAAGUGGCAGAAGCAAUUAAUUAAGAUGCUAAGAGAAUAAACAUUGUGUGAGAUUCCUAGCAAUUCAAUUGUUUUGGACAUGGAAAAGACAGUGUGAUAUUGUUUCAUUUUCACAAGGGCAGAUAAGAAUCUAUUAAAAUGAACCCUAGAAGGCAGAGGAUUCAUAUGAAUUACAUGAUUAAAGGAAGCAAUGGCAUCAUGAAGGCGGGUAAAAGAAGCAGAUUUGAAGUUAUUUGUCAAGAAGCGUGCAUCUUCAAGUGUGGAAGUAGAAGAAUGGCAAUAAUUGGUAAAUAAGAAUAGGAAUGGAGAUUGAAUGGUACCAAUUGCCCCUUGUAGCUGAAGAUGGAAGCUCCUGCUCUUCCUCCUCCAAGGCAUCUUCAUCAUCAUCGAUCUCUCGUCAGUUGUUUUUAGGGAUGGAUCGGAGAUUGGGAAUGAGGAAAGGAAAUAGAGAAUCGGAAAAAGAAGGCUCUCUGCCUGGUAAAGUGGCAAGGAUAACAAAAGGAAAUUGGGAAUUGUUUAUAUGCGCCACAUUUUGUGAUUUUUUAUUAAUUUAAAAAUAUUAUUUAAUAACAAAUUAAAUUUAUCAUUUUAUAAUAAUAAUUUUUUAAAUAUAAAUUCAAUUAAAUUUCUACUUUUAUAUAAGAGUCAAAUAAUCUUAAUUCAAAAUUUUGGAUAAAUUAAAUCUCUAUACUCAAAUAAAUUAUAAUCUAACAUAAUAUUAUAUAAUAUUAUUUUUUAAUAAUAAAAAUUUUUAUAUGAUAAAUUUUAUUUUUAUAAUUUUAAAAAUUAUUAAUUAUAUUUAUAUAUUUUUAAAAAAUUUUAUGAUAAUUAAAAUACUGAAUUUUUAAUUUUUAAAUUAUAAAAAUAAUAUUAAGUUAGAAUCUAUUUAGCCCUUGACAAAAUUACAUAGUUUAAUUAGCCUAAAAUUUUAAAAAUUUUAAAUUGAAUUUAUUUGAAUCUUAAUAAAAAUAUAGAAAUUUAAUUAAAUUUUAAAUAAAUUGACCCAACAUUUAUUUUAUUAAAUAAUAUUCCUUAUUUAGUAAAUAAUUGUCAACGUAUAUUUUUAAAAAUAUUAUUAUAGUCUAAUUGUAUAUAAUAUAGAUGAGGAAAAAAUAAAUAGUUUAUUGUUUAAUUUUACUCUAAUAUAAUUAGAAAUUUAAAAUGACUAACUUUAUAUAAUUUUUUAUUAUUAAUUACUUUAUUUAUAACUUUAUUUUAGUAUAAUAAAAAUUAAUUUUUUUACGAAGCUUAACUCUAACUCUCAUGAGAACUGUUUAGCACAUUUUUAUUUUGACAUUUUAUUUGAAUAAUAUUACAAUAUUAAUUAAUAUCAGUAAAAAAUUAAUAUAAAUUAUUUCAAAAUAAUAAAAUUUUGAAAUGUUAAACUCACUAAAUGUAUUUUGCAUUUUAAAUUUUAUUUGUUGUUUUAUUUUAUUGUUAAUAAUAUUAACGUAAAUUUAUAAUAUACAAAAUUUCAUAAAAAUUAAAAUUAUAAACAUUUUAUUUAUAAGAUUACAUAAUAAAUGUUAAAUUAGAAAAUUAAAUUACUGUGUGAAGCUAAUAAAAAAAUAUAAAAUUAUCAAAAAUUUAAUAUUUUUAUUAAAUAUUUAUUGCUAAAAAUUAUUAGUAUGAAUUAUUUAUUCCAAAAAUUUUAGCCACAAACUCAAAUAUUCAGCAUUAAAAAUAUUCAUACUUUUGAUGAUCUUUUAAAUUGGAAGUUUGAAAUUUUAGUUAGUUUUUUAUAUUAGAUUAUAAUAAAAUUUUGAUUUAAAUUUUAAUAGAAAAAUAAUAUAAUUAACCAAUCAAAUUAAAUAUUUUAAAUAACCAAUCAAAUUAUUAGAUUAUAAUAAAGCUUUAUCUCUGCCUGUUUACUUCUAAAGGCAAACCUUGUUUCUCUACUAGUGGUUAGUACUGCAGCCUUACCCUAUCCCUUUUAAGUAAGGGAUGGCUUCCUCGAGUCUUGGAUAUGGGUUUACUCUCCUUGUCUCUAGGGCUGGGUUGAAAAUAUUGUGUCUUUCUAUUGUUGUUUUUGCAGUUCUAGAUUUGGAGCUUCACGGUGAGAGUAUUUUAAAGAUCAGUCUUGGUUUAGGCCAACUCAUAGAUGUGAUAUCACUCUUCCGGCGACUGAGAGAGUUUGUGGUUUGCUUGCAUGCAUUCUUUUUUUAGGGGGUUCAAGUUUUCUAGGGAGGUGACAUAUCAUGAUGCUAUUAACGCUACUGAUAUGACUCCAGUCUUCGAAUAGCUACGAGAGAGUGAGACUGCUGUGAGCUCUGCUUACUCCAACCCACUAAACCUCUAGUACUAUAAAAAAAAUAAAUUUACAAACGGAUCAUAAACAUACUUUUGUUAUUGAAGGGAGGAGAGGCAUUCUCUUUUUAUAGGGAAGAAAAACUUUUCAUCUUUUAUAAUUUAUCAAUGUGAGAUUAAAAUUAAAUUGAUAUAAAUAAAUUUAUAAACUGACAAUAAAAUUAAAUGACACGAACGGUUCAAUAACUAUAAUUAUCUUUUUAACUAUAUACUCUUUAUACCUAUUUUAUAUCCGUCAAACAAUCAUAUGCAUUCUAAUAAUAGACAUUAUUCCAAAGUGUUAUAACAUAAAAAAUCAUUUUGCAUGAAUAACAGUUUCAACUAAAGGAGAAAUACAACAUCAUGACUGUUUUGUCAAUUUUAGUUUCAAAAGUCUUGAAGAGUUUAAAAGACAUCUUAUUGUAAAGAUAUGAAUCAACAACUUCUUAAUUUAUAUUGAUAAUGAAAUGAUUUUUUUAUUGGCAAUUCAAUAAAAAUUCAUUGGUAAAUAAAUUAAUAAUAAAUUACUAAUAGAUUACGAUCCGUUGUUAAAAAGUUCGGUGGUAAAUUUUUAUCAACGGCUUUCAAGUUCGUUAGUAAUACUAGUAGAUUUAUUAAUGGGAUUUCCAUUAUUAUUACCAACAAAUUUUAAUAACGGAAUUUUCAUUAUUAUUACCAAUAAAUUUUAAUAAAUUUUAAAUUUCUUAAUAUAAAAGAAAAAUAAUUUAUUAAUAUAUGUGAAAUCCGUUUGUAAACUAUCAAGGAAUUGCAAUCCAUUAGUAAAUUUAUUGAGAGUUUAAAUAAUUUUUUAUUAAUUUAAUAAAACUUAAAAUUAUAUUAUUCCUGUUACUAAGUUUUUAAUUUAUAUCCAAUAUUUAUUAGAAAUACAAAGAAAGUGAAAAUAAAAAAAGAGUAAAUGGUACAAAAUGAGAGAAAAUAAUAAAAAAGAAAGAAAAAAAGAGAAAAAUAAAGAAAAUAAUAAAAAAUAAAAAUUAUGAAAAUGAAGAAAGAACCAGAGUUGGGUAAAAAGAUGAUUAAAGAAAUGAAAAAAGUGAAUAAAGGAUUAGAGAAGAAAAUAAAUAAAGAGAAAAUAAUAGAAAAAAAUGUAUAUAGAAAGAAAAUGAUAGAAAAAAAUAAUAUUAGAAAAAUUAAUAUGAAUGAAAAUUAUAGAGAAAAUGAAGAAGAUAAGAGGAAAGGAAAGAAAAAGAUGGAAAAGAAAAUAGAGAAAAUGAAAGAAAAAUUAUGAAGAAUGAAAAAAAAUAAUAGAAGAGGAAAGAGAAUGAGAGAGAAUAGGAUAAGAUAUGAAAGAAAAAUAAUAGAAAAAAUAAGAAAAAAAAUUUAUGAGAUAAAAAAGUGAAAUGAAAAAAAGUAAUAGAAAAAAAAAAGAAAACAGAGAAAGGAUAAAAAAUGGAAGAAAGAUAGAUGAUAAGAUUUAGAUUUGGCUCUUAAAAGUAUAUAUAUAGGAUUUGAAUUUAUUUUUCUUAUGAUAUUAAUCUCAACCUGCUUAAUUAGACUAUUUACGAACCUACUCAUGAAUUCAUAUGCGAGUUGAACUCAGCAGUUUUAACGAGACGAAUAUUAUGGAGUUUAAGUUUACUUCAUUUACUAAAUAAGCCUAAAAAUUAAGUUUGAGUUUAACUCGUUUAGAAAUCGAGUCGAAUCUGAAAUAACUCACAAACGAUUUGUUUCAUUUACACCUCUAAAUUUGUUAACAGAUUAAAAUUGUUAGUGAUUUAUUAAUGGAUCUGAUAAAUUUUUACACAAUUUUUUAUAUUAAAAAUUACCAAAAAAAUUUUCAAAUUCGUUAAAAUCACUAAUGUACAUUGAUAAAAUUUAUUAGUAAAAUUUGUUGAUAAAAGUAUAAAAACUAUAGCUUUUCCUUUUAGCAUGUUGCUCACUAUCUCGCUUGAACCAUUAAAACGAUGUUUUACAUGAUUUUGUAGCAUAGAAAAAUAUAUCAAAUUGCUAACAAGAAACUUCCUUUUAUAUUUAGUUUCGUACGAAUAGCUCUAAAACUAACAUUUUGAUAAAAGCGACUCCAAAAUCUUGUAACAAGUUGCCUUUGUGAUUUCUGAACAAAUCAUCUCUCUCAGCUAUCUCUCAUUCUUCAGAAGUGGAGUAUAAAAACCUCUGGUAGGACUCAUAGUCUGAUUAACGUUGAUUUAUCUCUUUAAAGCCAUACAAAUCAUUAUAUUCUCGCUUUGAAUUUGCCCUUUAAAAAUGUAAAUGUCCCUUUCUCUUCGACCAAAUUUAACACUUUGACAAACUAAAUAAUAUUUUACCUUUAUUUUUUCAUCUCUUUAUUAAUUUUUUAUAUAUUAUUAUUAUUAUUAUUAUUAUUAUUAUUAUUAUUGCAAAUAGGCAAUUAAAUUUGAGCUCCUAUUAUAUUAAUAUCACAUUAUUAUAUGAAUAUAUUUAAUCAAAAUUAUCCAAAAAAAUUAUAAUAAAAUAAAAUUAAGAAAAUAUAUCAUUUUAGUUGAUUUUUUUAUUGUAAUUGAAAUAUUCAAAAUUUUAUUAUAUUUGCUAAUAUCUGUUAUUUAAUAAAAUUACUAUUUAAUUUAAAAAUUAUUAUAGUCGAAUUAUAUAUAUAUAUAUAUAUAUAUCCAUUUGUUUGUAUUUUUUAUAUCAAUCAUAAAUGUAUUAAUUAUUUUGUAAUUUUUUAAUUAUAUGAGUAAAUUACUUAUUAGUAAUAUAAUAUAUAUUUAUAUAUUAAUUACACAUAUUUUUUAAUUAAAAUUAUAUAAUUAAUAACUACAUAGAAUAAUAAAAUAUUCUUAUCUUAUAUUACUACUGUUAUUAUUUUAGUAUUAUUAUUUACUAUUUUAAAAUAUACAUAAAAAGUUAUUAUGAUUUUAUUUGUAAAAAUUAAAAUUUAAAUCAAAUUGAAACUAAAAUUAAAGUAAAAAAAAUUAAAAACAAAUUUAGACAGUAAUGAAAUUGCUUACAACCAUAUCAAAAUUAUACCGAAAUUUAAUUUCAAAUGUGGUUUUAAACAUUAAAGUAUUAGAAAUUUGGUUUGGUUCUAAUUCUUAGUAAGAACUAUAAUUUUUUUUUUUUUUUAUUUGAAUCUGAUUCUUAGCAAGAAUUACAGUUUUUCUUUUUAGCAUGUUGCCCACUACUAAUUAAGUUGUAUAGGUUAGCUGCUAAAUUUAAUAGUCUGCUAAAGGAGAAUUUGAGAGCAACAUUACCAACCGAUCGUCUAUCAUUCCAAGAUUUUAUUUUCAUCUCAUUCCCCACAGCAAAUCUGAUAUGAUUAAACAACAACUGAGAACAAAGAUCUAAAUUUAAUAGCCGCAUUUCGAAUGUCUUUCCGAAGGGAAGAAAUGCAACAACAGUAUUCCAUUUAAUCAAAUGAAGUUUCUUUGUAUUGACACUACUGCACCACGAGAAAGAUCUAAUGUGUAAUAGUUAGAUGAUGCUUUAAAGCACCAAGUUUAUCCCAUAGUUUAUUCAAUUUUGUAAAGUAAACAACAACUGAUAUAGAUUCUUGGGUUCUGAAUCAUUUUGCAAUAGGUUUCCUACCUCUCAAUAUGUACCCUGUCAAACCCACCUUCUCUAACAAACCAUUUCGCAUGGAUGCAGAAUCACAAAAACUUCAAGAAAGAUGCAUCAAGCAAAAAGAAAAAGUAUAUUACAAGGUUUAGUAAUAACAUAAAAUGUCUCAUUAUAUACUGCUGAGAGGAGAAAAGAAACAACC
rnacentral:lncRNA from 1 species